rnacentral:rRNA from 1 species
GAUGAACGCUAGCGAUAGGCUUAACACAUGCAAGUCGAGGGGCAGCAUAAGAAUAGCAAUAUUCUGGUGGCGACCGGCGCACGGGUGAGUAACACGUAUGCAACCUGCCCAUAACUGCGGAGUAACUCGUCGAAAGGCGGACUAAUACCGCAUAACAACGUAUUUUCGCAUGAAGAGACGUUUAAAGAUUAAUCGGUUAUGGAUGGGCAUGCGUUCCAUUAGGCAGUUGGUGAGGUAACGGCUCACCAAACCGACGAUGGAUAGGGGUUCUGAGAGGAAGGUCCCCCACAUUGGUACUGAGACACGGACCAAACUCCUACGGGAGGCAGCAGUGAGGAAUAUUGGUCAAUGGGCGAGAGCUUGAACCAGCCAAAUCGCGUGAAGGAUGAAGGUAUUAUGUAUUGUAAACUUCUUUUAUCGGGGAAUAAAGUGCACCACGUGUGGUGUUUUGUAUGUACCCGAAGAAUAAGGAUCGGCUAACUCCGUGCCAGCAGCCGCAGUAAUAC